UACGUAGGGUGCGAGCGUUGUCCGGAAUUAUUGGGCGUAAAGAGCUCGUAGGCGGUGUGUCACGUCGGCCGUGAAAACCUGCAGCUUAACUGUGGGCGUGCGGUCGAUACGGGCAUCACUGGAGUUCGGCAGGGGAGACUGGAAUUCCUGGUGUAGCGGUGAAAUGCGCAGAUAUCAGGAGGAACACCGGUGGCGAAGGCGGGUCUCUGGGCCGAUACUGACGCUGAGGAGCGAAAGCGUGGGGGGCAAACAGG
rnacentral:rRNA from 1 species